rnacentral:rRNA from 1 species
CAUUAUUGAAUGUCGCCUUGAUAGGUUGUAGCUGGCUUUUAAAAAAGAGCAUGUGCACACCUGUCUUGACUUCUAUUCAUCCACCUGUGCACCUUUUGUAGUCUUUUUGGGGGCUGGGGAAAUGGCAGCUUAGGCUGUCACUGAACCUCCCACUGGGGAGUAUGUUUUUACAUAUAUACCAUAUAAAAUGUAACAAAGUGUUGUCAAUGGGCACUUGUGGCCUAUAAAAAAACUAUACAACUUUCAGCAACGGAUCUCUUGGCUCUCGCAUCGAUGAAGAACGCAGCGAAAUGCGAUAAGUAAUGUGAAUUGCAGAAUUCAGUGAAUCAUCGAAUCUUUGAACGCACCUUGCGCUCCUUGGACAUUCCGAGGAGCAUGCCUGUUUGAGUGUCAUUAUAUUCUCAACCCCACUAGCUUUUGUGGCUAGUCUUUKGGGGCUUGGAUGUGGAGGKUUUUGCGGGCUAUUUUCUGGUCAGCUCCUCUGAAAUGUAUUAGCGGAACCGUUUGCGAUCCGUCACAGGUGUGAUAAUUAUCUACKCCUAGUGGGUUGCUUUCUGUCUGUUCAGCUUAUAACUGUCCUGUAUUGGACAAAUUUAUUUGAACGUUGACCU